rnacentral:rRNA from 1 species
GAUGAACGCUAGCGGCAGGCUUAACACAUGCAAGUCGAGGGGUAGUUACUUUCGGGUAAUGAGACCGGCGCACGGGUGAGUAACACGUAUGCAAUCUACCUUUUACAGGGGAAUAGCCCAGAGAAAUUUGGAUUAAUGCCCCAUAAUAUAUGUUUUUCGCAUGUUAUACAUAUUAAAGUUCCAACGGUAAAAGAUGAGCAUGCGUCCCAUUAGUUAGUUGGUAAGGUAAGGGCUUACCAAGACGAUGAUGGGUAGGGGUCCUGAGAGGGAGAUCCCCCACACUGGUACUGAGACACGGACCAGACUCCUACGGGAGGCAGCAGUGAGGAAUAUUGGACAAUGGGCGCAAGCCUGAUCCAGCCAUGCCGCGUGCAGGAAGACGGUCCUAUGGAUUGUAAGCUGCUUUUGUACGGGAAGAAACACUCCUACGUGUAGGAGCUUGACGGUACCGUAAGAAUAAGGAUCGGCUAACUCCGUGCCAGCAGCCGCUGUAAAAC